UACAGAGGUCUCAAGCGUUGUUCGGAUUCAUUGGGCGUAAAGGGCGCGUAGGCGGUUCGUACAGUCAGACGUGAAAUUCCUGGGCUCAACCUGGGGGCUGCGUUUGAUACGUGCGGGCUUGAGUGCGGAAGAGGGUCGUGGAAUUCCCAGUGUAGAGGUGAAAUUCGUAGAUAUUGGGAAGAACACCGGUGGCGAAGGCGGCGACCUGGUCCGAUACUGACGCUGAGGCGCGAAAGCGUGGGGAGCAAACAGG
rnacentral:rRNA from 1 species